rnacentral:rRNA from 1 species
GACGAACGCUGGCGGCGUGCCUAAUACAUGCAAGUAGAACGCUGAAGGAGGAGCUUGCUCUUCUGGAUGAGUUGCGAACGGGUGAGUAACGCGUAGGUAACCUGCCUGGUAGCGGGGGAUAACUAUUGGAAACGAUAGCUAAUACCGCAUAACAGUAGAUGUUGCAUGACAUUUGCUUAAAAGGUGCAAUUGCAUCACUACCAGAUGGACCUGCGUUGUAUUAGCUAGUUGGUGGGGUAACGGCUCACCAAGGCGACGAUACAUAGCCGACCUGAGAGGGUGAUCGGCCACACUGGGACUGAGACACGGCCCAGACUCCUACGGGAGGCAGCAGUAGGGAAUCUUCGGCAAUGGACGGAAGUCUGACCGAGCAACGCCGCGUGAGUGAAGAAGGGUUUCGGAUCGUAAAGCUCUGUUGUAAGGGAAGAACGAGUGUGGGAGUGGAAAGUUCACACUGUGACGGUAGCUUACCAGAAAGGGACGGCUAACUACGUG